rnacentral:rRNA from 1 species
UGAGCCAAGUUUAGGGUUUUCUCAAAACCCAAGCAGUAUUGAACUGAAGAGUUUGAUCAUGGCUCAGAUUGAACGCUGGCGGCAGGCCUAACACAUGCAAGUCGAGCGGAUGAAGGGAGCUUGCUCCUGGAUUCAGCGGCGGACGGGUG